rnacentral:tRNA from 1 species
GCCUGGGUGGCUUAAUUGAUUAGGCCUCUGACUUCAGCUCAGGUCAUGAUCUCACGGUUGGUGGGUUCGAGCCCCACAUUGGGCU